rnacentral:rRNA from 1 species
UACGAAGGGUGCAAGCGUUACUCGGAAUUACUGGGCGUAAAGCGUGCGUAGGUGGUUUGUUAAGUCUGAUGUGAAAGCCCUGGGCUCAACCUGGGAACGGCAUUGGAAACUGGCUUACUAGAGUGCGGUAGAGGGGUGUGGAAUUCCCGGUGUAGCAGUGAAAUGCGUAGAUAUCGGGAGGAACAUCUGUGGCGAAGGCGACACCCUGGACCAGCACUGACACUGAGGCACGAAAGCUAGGGGAGCAAACAGG